CUCCUUCCAGGGCUAUUUCCCUACUGCUGGAUAAAGACAUGAGGAUGCUAGGAAUCUCUUCAGCUACUAGGGAGUUAGUUCUGACCAUAAAAAUUCUCUUAAAUGUGUUUAUUCGACACACGGUUUCUCUGUGUAGCCAGGGCUGUCCUGGAACUCUAUAGACCAGGCCUACCUCUAGAGAUCUGCCUGCCUUUGCCUCUGCCUCUGCCUCACAAAUGCGGGGAUUAAAAGCGGUUGCUACUAUACCUACCUGCUCUUUUAAACUUUUAAAACAGACUACAACCAACAAGGUAAGAUUUAUACUAGGCAGGGAAGAGAAACUACUGAAGCACCCUGAUAGGAACAAGACCGUGUAGUUUAGAGAUUCAGUGGUGCAGGUCUUUAAUCUCUGCGUUCAAGAGGCAAAGACAGGUGGAUCUCUGUAUGAGGUCAGCCUGGUCUACACAAUGAGUUCCAUGCCAGCCAGAGCUACAUGAGACCUUGACACACCCUUCCCACCCAAGUCAUACUUGCAGUUUGGGAAGUCUGAAGCUGAAUCUCUUGAAUCCUUGGCAAUAUGCCUUCGAGCCAGCUAGAAGAGGCCCAGUUGGUACGGUAAUACUUAUUCACCAAGCUGGUCAUCGACGAGAGUGAGGAUAUCCUAGACGGAGCAAGAAUGGGCAGAGGCUGAAGAAUCUACUAUGAAGUUUACUUUUCAAGCACGGAAAAUUCGGUCUACAUAGCCUCUUUUACAAGGCAGCAUUUUUUUUAAACCUUAAAAUAGAGAAAAUGAAAAGUGGACAAGAAAACUUUGGAUAUAAUAUGCAUUGGCUCCUACUGUCCAGAAAGACAUGCACGGAAAGAACGCAGAGUUAGCUAAAGAAAUACCACAGUUUAUUGAAGACUAC